CAGCUCCUCCCGGCAGCUUCAGAUUUCCCAGGCAGCCCGUGGGCCUGGAACCCCGCUUGGAUAAGGGAAGGAAAAAUACAUUCAUUGUAUCCCUUUCCCACAAGCCACUACAAUCCUAUCUUUGUUCCUCGCUUGCAGCCAAUGAUGGGGAAAUGGAAGGGCGUUCGAAUUCCUGUCAAGCCUUUAAGAGAAGCCCCCCAGAACCCUGGGGAAAGGAGGCUGGCCGGCAGGGAAGGGCCCCAUGGAGCACUGGCCUGGGAUAUUUCACUGUCCCCUGCCCCGACUCCUCCUGGCCAUUUCCUGGAAGCUCUUGUUGCCACAGCCACAUGAACACAAACCUCCACCCAGCGCUGACCAAGAGCCAGGCCCUACCCCAGGACCUCACAGAUGUCACUUUAGUGAUCCUUUCAGCAACCUAAUGAGGUAGGACUAUCAUUAUUCCCUCUUCACAGAUGGGGAAACUGAGGCACGGGGCUGUAAAGUGACUUGCCCAAGGCCCCACUGGCAGUCAAUGGCAGAGCCAGGUACCCUCCCAGAGAUGCUCACGCCCUAAUCCUCAGGAUCUGCAAACAUGUCACCUUUCACGACAAAAGGACUUUGCAAAUACGCUGAAACAUCUUAAGAUGGCAAAAUUCUCCCAGGUCGUCUCAGUGGGUCCAAGGUAAGCACAAGGGUCUUCAUGAGAGGAAGAAGGAGGUCUAAGUCGGAAAGGGACCUGGCCAGGUGCAGUGGCUCACGCCUGUAACUCCAGCACUUCGGAAGGCCGAGGUGGUAGGAUCGCUUGAGCCCAGGCGUUCGAGACCACAAAAUAGCUAUCCUUGUUAAGUCUGAACAUGUAGGAUGUAAA
rnacentral:lncRNA from 1 species